rnacentral:rRNA from 1 species
GACGAACGCUGGCGGCGUGCUUAACACAUGCAAGUCGAACGGUAAGGCUCCAGCUUGCUGGGGUACACGAGUGGCGAACGGGUGAGUAACACGUGGGUGACCUGCCCUGCACUUCGGGAUAAGCCUGGGAAACUGGGUCUAAUACCGGAUAGGACCAUGGUGUGGAUACUGUGGUGGAAGGUUUUUUCGGUGUGGGAUGGGCCCGCGGCCUAUCAGCUUGUUGGUGGGGUAAUGGCCUACCAAGGCGGCGACGGGUAGCCGGCCUGAGAGGGUGGACGGCCACAUUGGGACUGAGACACGGCCCAGACUCCUACGGGAGGCAGCAGUGGGGAAUAUUGCACAAUGGGCGGAAGCCUGAUGCAGCGACGCCGCGUGGGGGAUGACGGCCUUCGGGUUGUAAACUCCUUUCACCAUCGACGAAGGGUUUCUGACGGUAGAUGGAGAAGAAGCACCGGCUAACUACGUG